GGGGUUCAGAUAAAAAAUCGGCAGCUGGCAGCAGGAAGUGGCUGCCAUUGACAGCCGGAAGGCAGUAACUGACAGCCGGAAGGCAGUAACUGGCAGCCGGGUGGUAGGCGGGACCUGCCAUUCGGUGGGAGCCAAUCAGUAUCGACCAACGUGGGCGCAACCAAUCAGAUAUAACUGCACCCAAACGCUUCAGUAAUGGUUGCGAUUGAUCAAACGUUGCCAGAUGCUGUCCUGUCGGAAAUUCUUCUUUACGUGAUCCUGGAGGAGGGGUGAUGCUACAUUACUAAGUCUGUCUUUGGUUUGUUCCAAAUUCAGAAGUCUGCUGUACUGUAUACAGACUCCUUUCGAAAGCGGGCACAAUCCAGCUGGCUUGACUGAGUAUCUUCUUUUACAUAUUUGAUUAGAUGUUUAAAAAGGUGCCAUAACAUUACAUUUCUCAGUUGCCGUGUCUGAAUGUUUAUCUUUGUAAUAAUGCUGUGUUCAUGCUCCUCAUCUCAAUAUACAGGUGGAACAAAAUGGAGAACAAGUCUAAGCCAUGUCAGGAAUUCAACAAAAUGUACACCCUGCAGACACUGCGACGAGGUUUACAACAACUGCUUACCAGGUCACUGCAGUCACCUGGAUCGAGUAUGUAUCCAGACCAGAUGGUGGAUCAGCACCUAGAAAGAACCUCUACAUCCCUGAAAGACAGCGGAGACCAGGACAACUAGAGCCCCAGAUACAGAUCCCCUGUAAAGACCUUGUUUUUUCUCCAUUUUGUCACCGGUGGAGUUUUGGUUCCUUGUCGCCUCUGGCUUGCUUCGUUGUGGUCACUUCAUUUACAGUGAUAUCAUUGACAUGAUUGCAAAUGAUUCCACAGAUACUAUUUAAACUGAACCGAGCUGAAGGAUGACAUCACUGAAUUGAAUGAUAAUCUGCCUUUUAAACUGACUACAAACUGAGUUUACUAAUGUCCUUCUGCAUUAUUGACUGACACACUAUUUUCCUAUUUAAUAUUGUAAAGUUGCUUUGCUUUGAUCUGUAUUAUUAAAAGCACUAUAUAAAUAAACGAUGCUUGACUUGACCAUGUUGCAAGAGGAAAAUGAGGAGAGAUGCACAUCCACCCUGGGUUUUACAGUGAUUGGUGCAAGAUGCUGGAGAAGUAACUCUGUAUCAGUUCUGAUCUAAGAGUCUUGAAAAUACCUCCGGAUUGUUGUUAGUGAUUCUGAUUGAUAUUUUAGUCUGCUUGCUUACUGGAUAUAUUUUGUACGGUUUACAUUGUAAAGCACUGACUUUGACAACUUACUAACCCAGUUACAAAUUUAACAGCUACUUUAUACUAUAUAUAUAUAUAUAUAUAGUUGUUUCUUGAAAUACUAC